rnacentral:lncRNA from 1 species
UUUUCAAUGAUGAAUCAUUUAGUUUACAAGACAUAUCUUGUAUUUUCUUUAGGUAAUUGCCAAAUCAGAGUCAAAUUUAUGAAUGGGCAACCAGUUCUCUUCACCACUUCCAGCUUAUACUCCUCUGGAGUGUAUCCUGAACCAUUGGGACGGCUUUGACCCUCAGAAUCUGGAGGAAAAACACCUCAUAGCCCUACGCACAAAGGGUUGGCCAAAUUAUGAUUUACAGGAAGGACUGAGUUGGCCUCAGGAAGGAACCAUUCAUUUCAAUACCACUUGGCAGUUGGAACUUUUCUGCAGACAUGAGGACAGAUGGUCUGAGGCCACAUAUAUGCAGGCUUUCUAUAUCUUGCAAGGCAAUCGAGACCUUGGCUAACAAUGUAAGAUAGAUCUAGCCCUCCUGUUUGCCAUCUUAGGGAAGGCUGCAAGGGGCAAGCCUAGAGAAUUAAAGAUAUGAGUCCCAGAGGCACCCCCAACAGGGGAGCCAGCUCCCUCAAGCCCUGCUCCUCCAGGUCUAUCCCAACCUCCCUAUCCAGCUUCAGCCUCUCACUUGCCCCCUCCUAGAAAUCCUCACUCUAAACAAGCCCCAGUCUCACUCCUGCCCCUCCAACAGAUGCCCAGUGAAUUUGGGCCCAGUAAGGUCCAGGUCUCCUUCUCCCUACAGGACUUAAAGCAAAUUAAGGAGGAUAUUGACAGGUUUUCAGAUGACCCUUAUAGAUAGAGGCUCUCCAGAAUUUCACCCAAAUAUUUGAACUCUCUUGAAAAGACAUUAUGUUACUUUUGAAUCAGACCCUGAUGGACACUGAGAAACAGUCCACUCUGCAAGCAGCAGAGAGAUUUAGGAAUGAGCUUUGUAUCACAUAUAGCGUCAGGGAAGGGGACGAAUAUUCUCCAACUGGAAGAGAAGCAGUACCAGUGAAUGACCCUAAAUGGCAUCCCAAUGAUGAGAUGGAAGACUGGAGAAGCACACACUUUCAGGUGUGCAUAGUGGAAGGCUAGUAUAAAUUUAUUACUCAGGCAGCUCCUGAUAUCAGGAGGAAGUUGCAGAAACGAUCCCUGGGAUCAGCUAGUACAUUAGAGGACCUCCUGAAAGUGGCUACCUUGGUCUUUUAUAAUACAGACAGGGAGGCCCAGGAAGAGAGAGGAAAUACGCAAAAGAGCAAAAGCUUUAAUGGCCACCAUGCAACCCCACAAACCCUAGAAUUCCCAGGGUACACCUGUUAGUUGCUAAAGAUAUUUCAAGAACAGUUAUCUCUCUGGUAAAGUUUAUUUGCUCCUGUGCAAGGUUUCAUUUCUUUCAACAGAGUGAAACAACUUGGGGUACAAUGUUAUUGUUAGUAUAUUUUCUUCUUAUGUCUGUAAUAUUUGGCACUAAAUUCUUUCCUUUAAUAAUACACAUGUUUAACCCAUGCAUACUUAACCUUAUAAAACUUGUUUUUUCUCUCAUGCCUGGAAGCCAUCAAACUCCAAAUGUUCAGGCAACCAGAGCCUCAGAUGAUGGCUCCGCUUUGCUAGGAACCCCCAGGUAGACCUCUCGGAAGCAUCCGACAGCAGUUUACCCCAAAAGAAUGCCCCCUGUCAGUGGGAAGCAGCUAAGACCAGUCAUUGUCCAUAUUCUCAUGGCAGUUAGAUACACCUCUUCAGAGAGGGGAAAUAAUAUGGGAGUGCUAGGAAGGGAAGAACAUGGCUGGCUAGGGCUCCAUACCCUGGCUAGUCCUGGCUAGGGCUCCACACUCACGGACCUAACUGAGAACAGGUAUUUCCCGCCCAAAUGUUGCAUUUCCCAAGACCACCCUGGCCUGCCAUGCCCCCAUCCUGUGCCUGCAAAAACCUGAGACCCUAGCAAGGCAGAUACAGAAGCAACUGGACAUCAAGAGGAGCACAUCAGCGGAGGAACACACAGGGAGAGGAACACAUAGGUGGCUGGACAUUGAGAGGAACACACUGACAGGCACCAGCAUGCUGGUAGGCCACUGACUGACAGAACAAUGCAGAGUUUGGCUGGGGCAGCUGGAGGACAGUCUGGGCCACUGAGCAGCCUGACUUCAGGGGAAAACCAUCUCCCUUCUGACUCUCCCAUCUGCUGGUAGCUAUUUCCAC